rnacentral:lncRNA from 1 species
CAGAGUGCAUGGUUGUCCAGAUUGUGAUAGUGUUGAUCAGGAUUGAAGAAGAUGGAGAAGUCAGGCUCAAUCAAGGUGGAGAUCAACCAAUAUGAUGGGAAGAGUAAUUUCUCCCUAUGACAAGUGAGGGUAAAGGAUAUGCUCAUCCAAUAGGAUUUUAUCGAUGCUAUCUUAUGUGAAGAGAAGCUGACUGCAAUGGAGGUAAAGGAUUGG